AAAUCUUCACAUUCCUUCCUUGAAUGAUCUAUGCUAUUAUAUCAUAUGCACCUAUAUACUACACCCUCCAUUGGCCCUAAUCUUUGUUUUAUUGAUACUCUGGAUGAUUGAUCCUUCUCUUCAAGUUUUGCAAAUUUUAUUUGCAAAUCUCUCAUCUCACGUAUGAUUUCAUUGAUGUCCAAUUCUUCUUUCUUUGAUGUAGUUAUUGAAGGUUGAAUCAAAGAUGUUGGAUGGGUAAUAGACAUCUUUACUUUUGAUAUAGUUAUUGAAGGUUGAAUCAAAGAUGUUGGAUGGGUACUAGACAUCUUUACUUUUGA
rnacentral:lncRNA from 1 species